GCCUGGGUGGCUCAGUUGGUUGAGCACCUGACUUGGGCUCAGGUCAUGAUCUCCUGGUUCUUGGGUUUGAGCCCCGCGUCAGGCU
rnacentral:tRNA from 1 species